ensembl:lncRNA
GCCUGGUGUCCUUUGUCUAAAUUGGUGUGUAAUCUACAAGCUGCAUGCAGUCAUCCAGUGAUUGAGAGGAGAGAGGAGGCUUUCAACGAACGAUAUAUCAUGAAGAGAUAUGUGAAAAACACCUUGAGGAUUGAUUCUAAACAACGUUUACCAUGUUUCAGUCGAUAUUAUGGAGUUAAUUUGGAAAAAAGUUUGGCGUUUUGAAGACUGAAUUUUCGUUUUUUUUUGGUAGCCAAACGUGACGCACCAAACGGAGCAAUUUCUCCUAAACAAAUAAUCUUUCAGGAAAAACUGAGCAUUUGCUAUCUAACUGAGAGUCUCCUCAUUAAAAACAUCUGAAGUUCUUGAAAGCUUCAAGGCAUAGCGAUUGGUCUCCUCUACUGUGUCUCCCACCAGCUCCUCUGUCAGAAACAUCUUGAAGCACUCUGUGUCAGAUGGAAAUGGCAAGGGGCAUUGCACUCCAGACUGAGAUUCAUCAAAGCAAACCGCAGGGCCAGGAGGGGUGAAAUGGCUGGCAGCCUUCCAGCUACCACAGAACUCCUGUACUUCAUCCACUGUCGGUCUGCCUCCAUCACCACCAGCAUCUUCAAAGGGAACUGGGACUUUGUCUGUGGACAAGGGGUCCUCAGAUUCAGGGUUCUCACGGGCUGGGGGGAAGCUCCUCACUGUCACUGUCAGAAUCUGAUUCCUGACUUUCAGACUCAUUGUCAGAAUUUUUUUAAUCUCCAGAAUUUCUGCAUUUGUGAGUUGUCUCCUUUUGAAAGACAUUGCUAAUGUUACAGCUUAGCUCACUAGCUACAUACUAACAACACCACUGAAUGGCUCAGAGUGGGAGUUAGAGGUUACGUGAUUGACUGCCUGCACGCAUCAUUUGUAUCAAUAAAUCACUAUCAGAAAAUGUCUUGUGUGGUAAUUAUUGAUAUGUUUACUGUUUUAUUCACGUUUUUCAAUUACCGGUGAUAAAUCAUGC